rnacentral:rRNA from 1 species
AUUGAACGCUGGCGGCAGGCCUAACACAUGCAAGUCGAGCAGAUGAAGGGAGCUUGCUCCUGGAUUCAGCGGCGGACGGGUGAGUAAUGCCUAGGAAUCUGCCUGGUAGUGGGGGAUAACGUCCGGAAACGGGCGCUAAUACCGCAUACGUCCUGAGGGAGAAAGUGGGGGAUCUUCGGACCUCACGCUAUCAGAUGAGCCUAGGUCGGAUUAGCUAGUUGGUGGGGUAAAGGCCUACCAAGGCGACGAUCCGUAACUGGUCUGAGAGGAUGAUCAGUCACUCGUGAACUAUGAUACGUGCAGGACUGUUGGGGGCGUAAGUGGUGGUGAAUAAUGUACAAUAUGCGAACGGGUGCUGCAGGCAUGCCGCGUGUGUUAAGAAGGUCUUGGUAUUGUAAAGCUCCUUAUGUUCGUAUGAUGACCAUUAAAUUAAUACCUGUCUUUUCUGACGUUACCUUCAAGAUGAGCGCCGUCUAACUUCGUG